rnacentral:rRNA from 1 species
AGAGUUUGAUCAUGGCUCAGAUUGAACGCUGGCGGCAGGCCUAACACAUGCAAGUCGAACGGUAACAGGAAGCAGCUUGCUGCUUCGCUGACGAGUGGCGGACGGGUGAGUAAUGUCUGGGAAACUGCCUGAUGGAGGGGGAUAACUACUGGAAACGGUAGCUAAUACCGCAUAAUGUCGCAAGACCAAAGAGGGGGACCUUCGGGCCUCUUGCCAUCGGAUGUGCCCAGAUGGGAUUAGCUUGUUGGUGGGGUAACGGCUCACCAAGGCGACGAUCCCUAGCUGGUCUGAGAGGAUGACCAGCCACACUGGAACUGAGACACGGUCCAGACUCCUACGGGAGGCAGCAGUGGGGAAUAUUGCACAAUGGGCGCAAGCCUGAUGCAGCCAUGCCGCGUGUAUGAAGAAGGCCUUCGGGUUGUAAAGUACUUUCAGCGGGGAGGAAGGGAGUAAAGUUAAUACCUUUGCUCAUUGACGUUACCCGCAGAAGAAGCACCGGCUAACUCCGUGCCAGCAGCCGCGGUAAUACGGAGGGUGCAAGCGUUAAUCGGAAUUACUGGGCGUAAAGCGCACGCAGGCGGUUUGUUAAGUCAGAUGUGAAAUCCCCGGGCUCAACCUGGGAACUGCAUCUGAUACUGGCAAGCUUGAGUCUCGUAGAGGGGGGUAGAAUUCCAGGUGUAGCGGUGAAAUGCGUAGAGAUCUGGAGGAAUACCGGUGGCGAAGGCGGCCCCCUGGACGAAGACUGACGCUCAGGUGCGAAAGCGUGGGGAGCAAACAGGAUUAGAUACCCUGGUAGUCCACGCCGUAAACGAUGUCGACUUGGAGGUUGUGCCCUUGAGGCGUGGCUUCCGGAGCUAACGCGUUAAGUCGACCGCCUGGGGAGUACGGCCGCAAGGUUAAAACUCAAAUGAAUUGACGGGGGCCCGCACAAGCGGUGGAGCAUGUGGUUUAAUUCGAUGCAACGCGAAGAACCUUACCUGGUCUUGACAUCUACGGAAGUUUUCAGAGAUGAGAAUGUGCCUUCGGGAACCGUGAGACAGGUGCUGCAUGGCUGUCGUCAGCUCGUGUUGUGAAAUGUUGGGUUAAGUCCCGCAACGAGCGCAACCCUUAUCCUUUGUUGCCAGCGGUCCGGCCGGGAACUCAAAGGAGACUGCCAGUGAUAAACUGGAGGAAGGUGGGGAUGACGUCAAGUCAUCAUGGCCCUUACGACCAGGGCUACACACGUGCUACAAUGGCGCAUACAAAGAGAAGCGACCUCGCGAGAGCAAGCGGACCUCAUAAAGUGCGUCGUAGUCCGGAUUGGAGUCUGCAACUCGACUCCAUGAAGUCGGAAUCGCUAGUAAUCGUGGAUCAGAAUGCCACGGUGAAUACGUUCCCGGGCCUUGUACACACCGCCCGUCACACCAUGGGAGUGGGUUGCAAAAGAAGUAGGUAGCUUAACCUUCGGGAGGGCGCUUACCACUUUGUGAUUCAUGACUGGGGUGAAGUCGUAACAAGGUAACCGUAGGGGAACCUGCGGUUG